AGUUUGAGCCCUUAACCCAAAUUGAAGCCAUAGAUAUCUUUGAAAUCUUCAGAAAACCCAUUCAAAAUUGAUGAAAAACAAGUUAAAUAUCAUGAAUAAUAAAAAUGCUAAAUAUGUUUGAGGUCAUUUAAAAAAAAUGUCUUAUGUAUUUUUCUCAAUUUUAGGAUGGUUUAAAAAACUUUUUCUCUUUUGUGAAAAUGUUAUUUUUUGUUUACAGCAAAACUCAGUUUCAAAGAAGUAGUUUAGUGAACCAUUAAUGAAGAACUGAGAUAAAAUGGUUUUAAAUAUCCCACAACACCCAGUUUGCCCAUUGCUACUUUUUGCCAAUUGAAGAUGUUGACAAAGCCAAGUGAGUCACAAUCCUUUAUGGGAUGGAGCGUUUUUAUGAACAUAUUCAUGGAU